CUGCAGCCCGAGUGGUGAUCGAUUUUAUCGAGCCUAAAGCGUCCGUAGCCGGACUAGUAAACCCUUGGGUAAAUUGGGCAGCUUAACUGUCCGAAUUCCGAGGGGACUGCUAGUCUUGGGACCGGGAGAGGUCAGAGGUACUCCAGGGGUAGGGGCUAAAUCCUGUAAUCCUUUGGGGACCACCAGUGGCGAAGGCGUCUGACUAGAACGGAUCCGACGGUAAGGGACGAAACCCUGGGGCGCGAACCGGAUUAGAGACCCGAGUAGUCC
rnacentral:rRNA from 1 species